rnacentral:rRNA from 1 species
UGCCAGACUCCUACGGGAGGCAGCAGUGGGGAAUAUUGCACAAUGGGGGAAACCCUGAUGCAGCAACGCCGCGUGAGUGAAGAAGUAUUUCGGUAUGUAAAGCUCUAUCAGCAGGGAAGAAGAUGACGGUACCUGAUUAAGAAGCCCCGGCUAACUACGUGCCAGCAGCCGCGGUAAUACGUAGGGGGCAAGCGUUAUCCGGAUUUACUGGGUGUAAAGGGAGCGUAGACGGCUGUGCAAGCCAGAUGUGAAAGCCCGGGGCUCAACCCCGGGACUGCAUUUGGAACUGUGUGGCUGGAGUGUCGGAGAGGCAGGCGGAAUUCCUAGUGUAGCGGUGAAAUGCGUAGAUAUUAGGAGGAACACCAGUGGCGAAGGCGGCCUGCUGGACGAUGACUGACGUUGAGGCUCGAAAGCGUGGGGAGCAAACAGGAUUAGAUACCCUAGUA